rnacentral:rRNA from 1 species
CCUACGGGUGGCAGCAGUGGGGAAUAUUGGGCAAUGGGCGCAAGCCUGACCCAGCAACGCCGCGUGAAGGAAGAAGGCUUUCGGGUUGUAAACUUCUUUUCUGAGGGACGAAGAAAGUGACGGUACCUCAGGAAUAAGCCACGGCUAACUACGUGACAGCAGCAGCGGUAAUACGUAGGUGGCAAGCGUUAUCCGGAUUUAUUGGGUGUAAAGGUCGUGUAGGCGGGAAAGCAAGUCAGAUGUGAAAUCUCAGGGCUCAACCCUGAGACUGCAUUGGAAACUGUUUUUCUUGAGUGCUGGAGAGGCAAGCGGAAGUCCGGGUGUAGCGGUGAAAUGCGUAGAGAUACGGAGGAACACCAGUGGCGAAGGCGGAUUGCUGGACAGUAACUGACGCUGAGGCGCGAAAGCGUGGGGAGCAAACAGGAUUAGAUACCCUAGUAGUC